rnacentral:lncRNA from 1 species
GUUCACAUAGUUUAUGUUUACAUAAUUUAUGUUUUAAAACAUAAUUUCUCUUAAGAAAUUAAACUAAGAAGAACCUAAUUAAACUGAUCCAAAAAAUAAACCCAACCAAACCGAAUACAAACCGAACCGAAUAUAAACCGAAACGAACACAAACCGAACUAACUAUGGUUUAUUUCAAUUGGAAAAAUACUAGAACCAAACUAACCAAAUCGAAC